UACGGAGGGGGUUAGCGUUGUUCGGAUUUACUGGGCGUAAAGAGCAUGUAGGCGGAUUGGUCAGUUGGGGGUGAAAGCCCCGGAGCUCAACUCCGGAACGGCCUUCAAUACUGCCAGUCUAGAGUCUGUAAGGGGGUGGUGGAAUUCCGAGUGUAGAGGUGAAAUUCGUAGAUAUUCGGAGGAACACCAGUGGCGAAGGCGACCACCUGGUACAGUACUGACGCUGAGAUGCGAAAGCGUGGGGAGCAAACAGGAUUAGAUACCCCCCGUAGU
rnacentral:rRNA from 1 species